GGGCUGGGCGGCAGACUACACAUGCAAGUCGAGCGGUAGAGAGAAGCUUGCUUCUCUUGAGAGCGGCGGACGGGUGAGAACGCCUAGGAAUCUGCCUGGUAGUGGGGGAUAACGCUCGGAAACGGACGCUAAUACCGCAUACGUCCUACGGGAGAAAGCAGGGGACCUUCGGGCCUUGCGCUAUCAGAUGAGCCUAGGUCGGAUUAGCUAGUUGGUGAGGUAAUGGCUCACCAAGGCGACGAUCCGUAACUGGUCUGAGAGGAUGAUCAGUCACACUGGAACUGAGACACGGUCCAGACUCCUACGGGAGGCAGCAGUGGGGAAUAUUGGACAAUGGGCGAAAGCCUGAUCCAGCCAUGCCGCGUGUGUGAAGAAGGUCUUCGGAUUGUAAAGCACUUUACUUUGGGAGGAAGGGCGUCAACCCUGUGCUUUGGC
rnacentral:rRNA from 1 species